rnacentral:tRNA from 1 species
AUAUAUGAAAUAAAUAUUAUAUUCAUCUUCGAAAUGAAAAAUGGUUAUAAACACCCAUAUAUA